rnacentral:rRNA from 1 species
GUAGGGGGCAAGCGUUGUCCGGAUUUAUUGGGCGUAAAGAGCGUGUAGGCGGCCAGGUAGGUCAGCUGUGAAAACUCGAGGCUCAACCUCGAGACGUCGGUUGAAACCAUCUGGCUAGAGUCCGGAAGAGGAGAGUGGAAUUCCCGGUGUAGCGGUGAAAUGCGCAGAUAUCGGGAAGAACACCCGUGGCGAAGGCGGCUCUCUGGGACGGUACUGACGCUGAGACGCGAAAGCGUGGGGAGCGAACAGGAUUAGAUACCCUGGUAGUCCACGCCGUAAACGAUGGGUGCUAGGUGUGGGGGGUGUCGACUCCCCCCGUGCCGAAGCUAACGCAUUAAGCACCCCGCCUGGGGAGUACGGCCGCAAGGCUA